rnacentral:lncRNA from 1 species
AAUUGCGGGGCGGUUCUCUCCAUCUUCCUCCAAUCUGGCCCCGCCCCGGUCCCCGCGGGAUCCCUGAGGCCCUGGGGGGCGGGGCGGUGCAUCUGAGAGCGGGUCGGGGGAGGGCGCUCCAGGGGUUGCCAUGGUGACAUUGAACCUGCCUGGAUCCUAACGCUCCAAGGGCUCCCUUGGCGUCUCAGCCUCCGAUAGCGUCUGAUAGCGGAUGGAGGACAGGCGGUCCGCGAAAGCGAGGCGGUGUGCAGGGGGAUGGGCUGCAGGAGAUGUGGAGAAGGAUAGAGGAGAGUGGCACCCGGCGCUGGCCGUUAGCCUGGGCGAUCUGCAGUUCAGACCCGGCUGGCUGGAGGGCGAGGACACGUGUGGGUGGAGCAGCCCUCGAUCCCGGAGCCACCAUCAGGGGACACUGUCUUCCGACACUACUAUUCAGAACUCAUACACAUGGUGAAGGUCAGGCCAGCUCCGCCCCCGCUUCCAGGCCCCCUUCCCGGGGUUGGGGGGCACUCGGACGACCGGCCUUCGUACUGUGAACCUGUCAGGCUUCCAGGAAGCCCAGGAAGUUGAGGAAGAAGCCCUCCAGCUCUCGAACCCGCGCCUCCUGGGGCCCCAGGUGCUAGGCGUGUCCUUGUAGCGCCUCCACCUCCCCCUCCAGGUGGGACAACCUGUCCCUGAGCAGCUCCAGCUCAGCCAACAAGUUCUCUGUGCGUGGGGCCUGGGGCUCUCCUGGGACAUGGCCACGGGUGUCCUGCUCAGCGUCAGCCACGUCCAGGGACACCUGUCCUUCCCGGGACAGCUGAAACAGAUGUUUCCACCUUUGGUUGUUUUCUUCAGACAUUCUGAGCAAUUCCUUCAGUUCAGACACUUCCCUGGACAGAUUUUAAUAAUGUCCCUCUUUCUGUGAAAAGCUGUCUUUGCAGAUUUAAGUUUCCUGUCAAACUCAUACAAAGCUUUAUCCAUGAGUUUCAGUCCAGUUCGGCAGCUCUUCCAGCUCCUCCUGUUCUAAGGCAGGGAAUCCCUCUCACCCGCUGGAGAUAACUCUCCAGAAAACCAAGACACCCCAGGUGACACAGCACCAGAAGAGCCGGCUAAACCUGGUCCUAGGCCAGAGGUCUCCAGGCCCGCGGCCCAUCAACGCCUCGGCAGAGACCCACUGGGGGACUACACCCUGCACGGCUCCAAGCUCCGGCCACGAGGUGCUGGCUUUCCCGAGCCUGUCUCCCAGGGACGCAGCCACCAUCAACGUCUGCACAGACAGCUGCCUACCCAGCCCCCACGGUGGAAGGCCGAGGCCUGCCUAGGCCAGUGGUCUCGGAUUGCUCCCGACUGGGUGAGGACCUGGAUCCCGGGCCUAGGGGCCGAAGUUGACAUUUUUCUCCCUGGGAGCCCUAAUGCGACGUGGCCCAGAAACUGCUUGUAAAUGCAUCCUGUUUCUGUUGUCUUCCUUCUGCCAGAGCUGGCUUUGCUCCCCACUUCAGCAUUUCGGAUUGCCAGGGGGCUAGCUGCUGCCCUUGAGGGGGUGAAGGGUCAGUG